AUUGAACGCUGGCGGCAGGCCUAACACAUGCAAGUCGAACGGUAACAGGAAACAGCUUGCUGUUUCGCUGACGAGUGGCGGACGGGUGAGAAAUGUCUGGGAAACUGCUUGAUGGAGGGGGAUAACUACUGGAAACGGUAGCUAAUACCGCAUAACGUCGCAAGACCAAAGAGGGGGACCUUCGGGCCUCUUGCCAUCGGAUGUGCCCAGAUGGGAUUAGCUAGUAGGUGGGGUAACGGCUCACCUAGGCGACGAUCCCUAGCUGGUCUGAGAGGAUGACCAGCCACACUGGAACUGAGACACGGUCCAGACUCCUACGGGAGGCAGCAGUGGGGAAUAUUGCGCAAUGGGCGCAAGCCUGAUGCAGCCAUGCCGCGUGUAUGAAGAAGGCCUUCGGGUUGUAAAGUCCUUUCAGCGGGGAGGAAGGGAGUAAAGUUAAUACCUUUACUCAUUGACGUUACCCGCAGAAGAAGCACCGGCUAACUACGUG
rnacentral:rRNA from 1 species